rnacentral:rRNA from 1 species
CCUACGGGUGGCAGCAGUGGGGAAUAUUGCGCAAUGGGGGCAACCCUGACGCAGCAACGCCGCGUGAUUGAAGAAGGCCUUCGGGUUGUAAAGAUCUUUAAUCGGGGACGAAUAUUGACGGUACCCGAAGAAUAAGCUCCGGCUAACUACGUGCCAGCAGCCGCGGUACUUCGCAGGGAGCAAGCGUCAUCCGGAUUUACUGGGUGGAAAGGGCUUGUAGGCGGGCAUGCAAGCCAGAAGUGAAAUCUGGGGGGUUAAACCCCAAACUGCUUGUGAGACUGCGUGUCUUGAGUGGUGGGAAGGCAGGCGGAAUUCCCGGUGUAGCGGUGAAAUGCGUAGAUAUUGGGAAGAACACCAGUGGCGAAGGCGGCCUGCUGGACAUUGACUGACGCUGAGGCGCGAAAGCGUGGGGAGCAAACAGGAUUAGAUACCCUAGUAGUC